CUACAGAGGGUGCAAGCGUUAAUCGGAAUUACUGGGCGUAAAGCGCGCGUAGGCGGUUUGAUAAGUCGGAUGUGAAAUCCCUGGGCUCAACCUGGGAACUGCAUUCGAAACUGUCUGACUAGAGUAUGGUAGAGGGUGGUGGAAUUCCUAGUGUAGCGGUGAAAUGCGUAGAUAUUAGGAGGAACAUCAGUGGCGAAGGCGACCACCUGGACCAAUACUGACGCUGAGGUGCGAAAGCGUGGGGAGCAAACAGGAUUAGAUACCCGUGUAGUCC
rnacentral:rRNA from 1 species